rnacentral:lncRNA from 1 species
CCUUCUCAUAAGUGAAAAGCAUGAUGAAUACCUACCUUAUUCUGCAGUAAGUUAUCCCAAGCCCUGCCGCUCAGUGCAUAUCGGAUGAUGAACUUGAGAAUAUCUAGAGGGAUAUAAAAGAUAAUGCUGUACAGCCAUAUAACACCAGCCCAUCCCCAGCCGAUGCCGUGUAUUCUCGCAAAACCCCAAUUUGCAUAGACAGCUAGGAGAGUUGCAAUCUGAUAAAGCAUAAACCAGAUCAAUGAAUCAUCAGCCUGUUACCGUUCAGUAGUAGUAUAUAAGUUAUCAUCAUCAAGUUUUCAUUCCUCACCAGUUGUGCAGCAACGAAGGCUGACAUAAGCAGGAGACCUGGGCGUUCAAUGUAUGACCAACUGCGAGAUCGAGUAACAAAGAUGAGUGCCUGGCUCACAAUACUCACUUGGAGGUAGACAGCUGCUGUAAGCUCAUCAGGAUUGUUCCUAAUUGACCUCACGCCAAAUUUGUCCUGUGAAGUCACGUGGUGAGUUUAAGACUUCAUUCAUAAAGGAGAAAGACCAAGUUGCAAGUAAUUUACAUGUGCAAUUCAAAAGGAAGCAUUCAUUCCUGGGACUAUUUUGAUAAUUAUCCUUUUGAUUUAACAUAAAAGCUUACCGAGAAGAAGUCGGUUUUAUGUGCAGCCCAGAAGAAAACAACAGUCAUAACAGCUAAGUAGGUUCCAAGAACAACGCCAGUAGCAAAAAUCUCCUUGAGCUUCCAGGAGUCAGGUACGGGAGAUGGCUUCACCCUAUCUUUAGAGAUGGGCAUGAUGGUUCCAUCAUUCAAUAUGGC